AUUGAACGCUGGCGGCAGGCCUAACACAUGCAAGUCGAACGGCAGCGGGGGAUAGCUUGCUAUCCUGCCGGCGAGUGGCAGACGGGUGAGUAAUGCAUGGGGAGCUGCCCAAUCGAGGGGGAUAACAACUGGAAACGGUUGCUAAUACCGCAUACGCCCUGCGGGGGAAAGGUGGGACCUUCGGGCCUACCGCGAUUGGAUGCACCCAUGUGGGAUUAGCUAGUUGGUGAGGUAACGGCUCACCAAGGCGACGAUCUCUAGCUGGUCUGAGAGGAUGACCAGCCACACUGGAACUGAGACACGGUCCAGACUCCUACGGGAGGCAGCAGUGGGGAAUAUUGCACAAUGGGGGAAACCCUGAUGCAGCCAUGCCGCGUGUGUGAAGAAGGCCUUCGGGUUGUAAAGCACUUUCAGUGGGGAGGAAGGGCUGAUGACUAAUAUUCAUCAGCAUUGACGUUACCCACAGAAGAAGCACCGGCUAACUCCGUGCCAGCAGCCGCCGUAA
rnacentral:rRNA from 1 species